UUAACUUGUUUGUUUUUUCUCGAGAUGCCAACGCAAAGAGACAGAGUAUAGUAGGCUGCCGGCGGGCUUCGCGCCCCUGCGCAGGUCCCCAGUGGGGACCUCCGCCGAGACACCCGCCGAAGCAACGUGCUUGUAGUGAAGUUCACAGGGUUGUAGGAGUCUUGCGAGUCCUGUAAUGAUCCCUCCGCUGGUUCACCAACGGAGA
rnacentral:misc_RNA from 1 species